rnacentral:lncRNA from 1 species
CCCUCAUCAAGGUCGAGUGAGUUGACAUUUGGGACCGGGGAAUGAAGGUUCAUCCACUCCUGCAAGAUACAAUCCACAAAUUCAGUCGACAAUGAAAUUACACGCACUCGGUUCAAACACAACAAUGUUCAACAGAGUGGAACUAACCUUAUUCGUCAGCGGAUUGUCAGCUGAGAAGGGAAGGAUCCUUUUUGCCCCCAUAGGGUUGUCACAAGGACCCACUAUCCCUCGGAUCCACUUGGCUACUGUGUCUUCACUCACUUCUUCAGGAUGAGACGGAGUGGAGU